rnacentral:ncRNA from 1 species
GCCGUGAUUAAAAGGGAAUCAGGUGAAAAUCCUGAGCAGUCCCGCUGCUGUGAGUUGUCUUUUAUGGGUACGGACAAUAUGCCACUGACAUUUUUAGGGAAGGCGUCCGCACAGACAACGAAGCCAGAAGACCUGCCAUCGGUGUUAUA